GGUAAAUCAUUAAAUAAUGUAAACAAGUGAUAAAAAACAGUAAAAUAAAUAUUUGGUAUUAGAAAAUAAAUGAUUUGAAAACAACACAACGUAACAUGGAGACUUAUAAUUAUGUACAUCUAAUAGCUUUCCCGUUACCAAGGAGAAAGUUUAGGUAAAAAAAUUAAGUUGAGUGAUCACAUCAAGUUUAUAUUAUGCACACUACGGAAGAUAUAAAGAGAACAAAACACGGCUUUAAAGACAAUUACAGGAUAGAAACAUAACCUCAAAUAUGGUACAGAAGAAACAGACUAAUCAAAACUAUGAAAGGACACGAACAUUUACAUUACAUUUGAUAGUGAGGAAAGGACAGAAAAACAGGUUCCUGAGGGGCGGAGGAAUGAUGUUCCAGCACUUGGUCGCAUUGUACUUGAAGCUGCCACGAAAAGCCGCAGUCGCAUGCCGAGGAGUUAUCAGCUGUAUACUACAAGUGCGUACUGCAAGAGACCUGCGAGUGGACAUCCAUGACAGCUUUUCGAAGAGAUAUAAAGGGGAUUUAUGUUUUACUAUGCCAAAAAGAAGACUGGCCAGAUGAAGUUUGCGACGGUGAAGCAUUUUAAGAAUAUUGUGCUUAUUCAAAAAUGGCGUGACAUGAGCUCUUGGUGGUACAUUGAAACAGAAGCGGGUACAGGCAUUCUGUACUCUUUGAAUAAGCCGUUUUGUUUUUGAUAGGAGCCGAGGGCCAUACACUAAAUCCAUGUAAUUUAAUUUAGACAGAACUAGUGUUUCAAUCAAUUGAAUGCGCAAGGUUUCGUUAAUAAAAGGCCGUAUGUUG